UGCAAGUCGAGCGGCAGCGCAGAAGCAACCCUGGCGGCGAGCGGCGGACGGGUGAGUAAUGCAUCGGAACAUAUCCCGUAGUGGGGGACAACCCAGCGAAAGCUGGGCUAAUACCGCAUAUGCUCUACGGAGGAAAGUGGGGGACCCACAAGGGCCUCACGCUGGGGGAGCGGCCGAUGUCCGAUUAGCUGGUUGGUGGGGUAAUGGCCCACCAAGACGACGAUCGGUAGCUGGUCUGAGAGGAUGAUCAGCCACACUGGGACUGAGACACGGCCCAGACUCCUACGGAAGGCAGCAGUGGGGAAUUUUGGACAAUGGGGGCAACCCUGAUCCAGCCAUGCCGCGUGCGGGAAGAAGGCCUUCGGGUUGUAAACCGCUUUUGGUCGGGACGAAAGGGCCGAGGCUAAUAUCCUUGGUUGUUGACGGUACCGGCAGAAUAAGCACCGGCUAACUACGUGCCAACAGCCGCGGUAAUACGUAGGGUGCGAGCGUUAAUCGGAAUUACUGGGCGUAAAGCGUGCGCAGGCGGUGAGUUAAGUCUGCUGUGAAAGCCCCGGGCUCAACCUGGGAAUGGCAGUGGAAACUGGCUCGCUGGAGUGUGGCAGA
rnacentral:rRNA from 1 species